rnacentral:lncRNA from 1 species
UCGAGCUUCACUUGGCCCUUUUUCAGCUGCGGGCUUGCUGGAGUCGCCCGCCUACCGCUUCUUCAUGGCCUCCUUGUCCUUCAGCUUGAAGGCUUCCUCUGCUCGGGUAUAUCCUUUGGCCUGAGCCAGCAAAUCAGCGAAGUCCCUGGGAUACUUCUUUUUCAGGGAAAAUAGAAGGUCAUUCUUUUGAAGACCGCUCUUCAGGACGGCCAUUGCAACUGAUUGGUCCAAGUUUCAGACCUCCAAUGCGGCGGCGUUAAAAUGGUUGACAUAAGUUCAGAUGGAUUCUUCCUCCUUUUGCUUGAUGUUGAUGAGAGACUCCGAACCUCUCCAGAGACGUCGGCUGCUGAUGAAAUAAGCCACAAACUGGUGGCUCAUUUGAUCAAAGGAGAAGAUAGUACCCGACUUCAAUGUCGAGUACCAAUUUCUUGCUGCUCCCUUCAAGGUAGAU